rnacentral:rRNA from 1 species
GAUGAACGCUGGCGGCGUGCCUAACACAUGCAAGUCGAGCGGCAGCGAGGGGUGCUUGCACCCUGUCGGCGAGCGGCGGACGGCUGAGUAACGCGUGGGAACGUGCCCCAAAGUGAGGAAUAACUGCCCGAAAGGGUAGCUAAUACCGCAUAUUAUCUUCGGAUCAAAGGAUUUAUCCGCUUUGGGAGCGGCUCGCGUCGGAUUAGGUAGUUGGUGAGGUAAUGGCUCACCAAGCCGACGAUCCGUAGCUGGUCUGAGAGGAUGACCAGCCAGACUGGAACUGAGACACGGUCCAGACUCCUACGGGAGGCAGCAGUGAGGAAUCUUCCACAAUGGGCGAAAGCCUGAUGGAGCAACGCCGCGUGAAGGACGAAGGCCUUAGGGUUGUAAACUGCUUUUAUAAGUGAGGAAUAUGACGGUAACUUAUGAAUAAGGAUCGGCUAACUACGUG